UACGGAGGAUCCAAGCGUUAUCCGGAAUCAUUGGGUUUAAAGGGUCCGUAGGCGGUUUUGUAAGUCAGUGGUGAAAGCCCAUCGCUCAACGGUGGAACGGCCAUUGAUACUGCAAGACUUGAAUUAUUAGGAAGUAACUAGAAUAUGUAGUGUAGCGGUGAAAUGCUUAGAUAUUACAUGGAAUACCAAUUGCGAAGGCAGGUUACUACUAAUCGAUUGACGCUGAUGGACGAAAGCGUGGGGAGCGAACAGG
rnacentral:rRNA from 1 species